UCUAGCUUAAGGGAGAUGGAGAAUGUAAAGGUUUCCACUUGUCACAUGAGACAUACGUGGAAUGGGCACCCUCAAAUCUGGUCAAUGUAAGGAAAGCUGUUUAACAGGCAAGCCAUGGCAAGUCUCAAUGACAUAAUCAUUAGGCCCUCCCUUAACCAUCUAUUGUAACCUGGAAAGCCGUAGAUUCUGUGAUGUCACAAGUGUUGUCAUGACUACAACUCCCUCUCAGAUAUCCCUUCAGUACCUCUAGGGUUUACUAAUUGAACUAUAAUUCAGAAUAAACAGCCAUUUGGGAGUAAAAACAAAGAGGAUGAAGAGAUCAGAUAUGGAGAGAAGGAAGCUGGUCUUCUUUCUUGCAAAACUCUCAAAUCUCAUCCUGGCUGACGAUGUAGAUUAGACCCAUCGGAUGAAAUGAAGAAUUAAAAAACUCUCCUGGGGAUGAAAAUGCCUCUGUUCUAAAGCUAAGGAUUCUGAUGGAAAAACCUCCACCAAAACACUGGAUGGUCAAUGGUGCUGGCAGCCAAAAACCAUGUCCUGAGUCUACCCUGCAAUCUCCAGAAGAGGUUUCAAAAUGUCAAACUUAACAAUUUUUUUGUGGCUUUGUCUUGUACCUUUUUAUUUUAAAUAAAGUGUGAUUUCUGUCA